ACUUGGAGGCCAGUGAGGGCAAAAAUAAAAAGUUAUAAGACUUUUAAAAAUGUGGAUUUUAGGGUUAUCUUUGGCGCCCCCUAGAACCUAAACCGUGGGGUGCAGCGUCAUGAUUUGAAUAACUUUUAAUGGCCAUGGGGUGUAGAUUGGCCUGAGCAAAUGUGGUGCCGGUGGAACGAAAGCCUUCGGAGGAGUUAGCGAAAUUCCAAUGUGUGCGGAUCGGCAAAAAAUGCGAAAUAACCCUUUAACCGUACAUUUGACAGAUACGCCCGCACUGACUUUUUUGUAGAUCUUAUUGAGAUACAUGUGUGUGUCAAUUUUUGUGUCAUUUUGACAAAGCAUACAGGCGUGACAGUCAAUAGUGUGAAUUUUCACCUUAGGGGGCGCUAUGGAGCCAUUUUGCAUUUUCUUGUUUGGGCGACUUCGGAAUAUCAAAUUUUUCACCAGGCCCGGUCGUCCUGCCAAAUUUCAUGAGUUUUCGCCAGUGGGAAGUGGGCCAUUUUCCAGUUCAAAGGGGAGGAAAAAGAAGAAAGAAAGAAACAAAGAAAAACCCCUACAGGAAUAACAGGGCCUACGCCCGGCUGCUCUGCAGCUGGCUCGGGCCCUAAAAAACCUAUACAGGAAUAAUAGGGCUCUACGCCCGGCUGCUCUGCAGCUGGCUCGGGCCCUAACUAGGGCCCCGGUGGGGCACUGUCGGGCCCGAGCCGCGUUGUGCCGCCCCCAGCGUGACCGCCUCCCCCUCCCGAUCGCGUCACACUCAAGGUCCAAAGAUGGUGUGCGCACUUGUCUGUGGUCAUUUCCCAUUAUAAUGAAUGGGAGGCGCAGUUUCUACCAAAACACUCGCUGCAGACAAACUUCAUGUCCUAUUUGAAAAAAGUCUGGACCAUGAGUGAGGGCACAAACACAGCUGGGAUAUAUCCAAAUGGCAGGUUGCUCCUGGAUACGGUGUUGCCUGGAGAGCGAUGCGAUUGAGCCAUUGAGCGAUGGGCAGGAAAAACUUGACUUUUUCUCCUGCCAUGGGGGGGGGGAGAAUGUGGAUUCUUUUAAGAAUGUGGAUUUUUUGGUCAUCUUUGGCGCCCCCUAGAACGUAAACCGUGGGGUGCAGCGUCAUGAUUUUUACAACUUUGAAUGGCCAUGGGGUGUAGAUUGGCCUGAGCAAAUUUAGUUUCAGUGGGACGAAAGCCUUAGGAGGAGUUAGCCACAUUCCAAUGUGUGCGAAUCGGCAAAAAAUGCAAAAUAGCCCUCUAACCGUACAUUUGACAGAUACGCACCCAUUGACUUUUUCGUAGAUCUUAUUGAGAUACACGUGAUUGUCAAAUUUUGUGUCAAUAUGACAAAGCGUACAGGUGUCACACUCAACAAUGUGAAUUUUCACCUUACGGGACAAGAAAAAAUGGACUUUUUUCUCCUGCCAUGGGGGGGCGCUCUUUUAGGGAGUAAAAAUUCCUUCACAAAUGUGUUGAUGGCUGGACAUUGCAUCAUCCUAGAAAACUUGGAGGCCAGUGAGGGCAAAAAUAAAAAGUUAUAAGACUUUUAAAUAUGUGGAUUUUAGGGUUAUCUUUGGCGCCCCCUAGAACCUAAACCGUGGGGUGCAGCGUCAUGAUUUGAAUAACUUUUAAUGGCCAUGGGGUGUAGAUUGGCCUGAGCAAAUGUGGUGCCGGUGGAAAGAAAGCCUUCAGAGGAGUUAGCGAAAUUCCAAUGUGUGCGGAUCUGCAAAAAAUGCGAAAUAACCCUUUAACCGUACAUUUGACAGAUACGCCCGCACUGACUUUUUUGUAGAUCUUAUUGAGAUACAUAUGUGUGUCAAUUUUUGUGUCAUUUUGACAAAGCGUAAAGGCGUGACAGUCAAUAGUGUGAAUUUUCACCUUAGGGGGCGCUAUGGAGCCAUUUUGCAUUUUCUUGUUUGGGCAACUUCGGAAUAUCAAAUUUUUCACCAGGCCCGGUCAUCCUGCCAAAUUUCAUGAGUUUUCGCCAGUGGGAAGUGGGCCAUUUUCCAGUUCAAAGGGGAGGAAAAAGAAGAAAGAAAGAAACAAAGAAAAACCACUUGGGGAAUAAUAGGGCUCUCGCAGCUGCUUAGCAGCUACGCUCGGGCCCUAAAAACCACUUGGGGAAUAAUAGGGCCUACGCCCGGCUGCUCUGCAGCUGGCUCGGGCCCUAAUAAUAACAAAAGAAGGAAACUACAGGAACAAGAGGGCUCUCGCAGCUGCUUAGCAGCUACGCUCGGGCCCUAAAGAAGAAUCCAUCAGGAAUAAUAGGGCUCUCGCAGCUGCUUAGCAGCUACGCUCGGGCCCUAACUAGGGCCCCGGUGGGGCACUGUCGGGCCCGAGCCGCGUCGCGCCGCCCCCAGCGCGACCGCCUCCCCCUCCCGAUUGCAUCACACUCAAGGUCCAAAGAUGGUGUGCGCACUUGUCUGUGGUCAUUUCCCAUUAUAAUGAAUGGGAGGCGCAGUUUCUACCAAAACGGCCGCUGCAGACAAACUACAUGUCCUAUUUGAAAAAAGUCUGGACCAUGAGUGAGGGCACAAACACAGCUAGGAUAUAUCCAAAUGGCAAGUUGCUCCUCCUUACGGUGUUGCCGGGAGAGCGAUGCGAUUGAGCCAUUGAGCGAUGGGCAGGGUUAACUGGACUUUUUCUCCUGCCUUGGGGGGGGGGAUGUGGAUUCUUUUAAGAAUGUGGAUAUUUGGGUCAUCUUUGGCGCCCCCUAGAACGUAAACCAUGGGGUGCAGCGGCAUGAUUUUUACAACUUUGAAUGGCCAUGGGAUGUAGAUCGGCUUGAGCAAAUUUGGUGUCGGUGGGAAGAAAGCCUUAGGAGGAGUUAGCCACAUUCCAAUGUGUGCGAAUCGGCAAAAAAUGCGAAAUAGCCCUUUAACCGUACAUUUUACAGAUACGUGCCCAUUGACUUUUUCGUAGAUCUUAUUGAGAUACACGUGUGUGUCAAAUUUUGUGUCAUUUUGACAAAGCGUAUAGGCGUGACAGUCAACAAUGUGUUUUUUCACCUUAGGGGACAAGAAAAAAUGGACUUUUUUCUCCUGCCAUGGGGGGGCGCCCUUUUCGGGAGUAAAAAUUCCUUUACAAAUGUGUUGAUGGCUGGACAUUGCAUCAUCCUAGAAAACUUGGAGGCCAGUGAGGACAAAAAUAAAAAGUUAUAAGACUAUUAAGAAUGUGGAUUUUGGGUUAUCUUUGGCGCCCCCUAGAACCUAAACCGUGGGGUGCAGCGUCAUGAUUUGUACAACUUUUAAUGGCCAUGGGGUGUAGAUUGGCCUGCGCAAAUGUGGUGCCGGUCGAACUAAAGCCUUCGGAGGAGUUAGCGAAAUUCCAAUGUGUGCAGAUCUGCAAAAAAUGCAAAAUAACCCAUUAACCGUACAUUUGACAGAUACGCCCGCACUGACUUUCUUGUAGAUCUUAUUGAGAUACAUGUGUGUGUCAAUUUUUGUGUCAAUAUGACAAAGCGUACAGCCGUCAUGUGAAUUUUCACCUUAGGGGGCGCUAUGGAGCCAUUUUGCAUUUUAUUGUUUGGGCGACUUCAGAAUAUCGAAUUUUUCACCAGGCCCGGUCGUCCUGCCAAAUUUCCUGAGUUUUCGCCAGUGGGAAGUGGGCCAUUUUCCAGUUUAAAGCGGAGGAAAAAUAAUAACGAAAGAAGGAAACAUGCAGGAACAAGAGGGCUCUCGCAGCUGCUUAGCAGCUACGCUCGGGCCCUAAAGAAAGAAACAAAGACUAGGGCCCCGGUGGGGCACUGUCGGGCCCGAGCGGCGUCGCGCCGCCCCCAGCGCGACCGCCUCCCCCUCCCGAUCGCGUCACACUCAAGGUCCAAAGAUGGUGUGCGCACUUGUCUGUGGUCAUUUACCAUUAUAAUGAAUGGGAGGCACAGUUUCUACCAAAACACUCGCUGCAGACAAACUUCAUGUCCUAUUUGAAAAAAGUCUGGACCAUGAGUGAGGGCACAAACACAGCUAGGAUAUAUCCAAAUGGCAGGUUGCUCCUCCUUACGGUGUUGCCUGGAGAGCGCUGGAUUGAGCCAUUGAGCGAUGGGCAGGAAAAACUUGACUUUUUCUUCUGCCUUGGGGGGGGUGUGUGUGGAUUCUUUUAAGAAUGUGGAUAUUUGGGUCAUCUUUGGCGCCCCCUAGAACGUAAACCGUGGGGUGCAGCGUCAUGAUUUUUACAACUUUGAAUGGCCAUGGGAUGUAGAUCGGCUUGAGCAAAUUUGGUGUCGGUGGGACGAAAGCCUUAGGAGGAGUUAGCCACAUUCCAAUGUGUGCGAAUCGGCAAAAAAUGCAAAAUAGCCCUUUAACCGUACAUUUGACAGAUACGCGCCCAUUGACUUUUUCGUAGAUCUUAUUGAGAUACACGUGAUUGUCAAAUUUUGUGUCAAUAUGACAAAGCGUACAGGUGUCACACUCAACAAUGUGAAUUUUCACCUUAGGGGACAAGAAAAAAUGGACUUUUUUCUCCUGCCAUGGGGGGGCGCUCUUUUGGGGAGUAAAAAAUCCUUCACAAAUGUGUUGAUGGCUGGACAUUGCAUCAUCCUAGAAAACUUGGAGGCCAGUGAGGACAAAAAUAAAAAGUUAUAAGACUUUGAAAUAUGUGGAUUUUAGGGUUAUCUUUGGCGCCCCCUAGAACCUAAACCGUGGGGUGCAGCGUCAUGAUUUGAAUAACUUUGAAUGGCCAUGGGGUGUAGAUUGGCCUGAGCAAAUGUGAUGCCAGUGGAACGAAAGCCUUCGGAGGAGUUAGCGAAAUUCCAAUGUGUGCGGAUCAACAAAAAAUGCGGAAUAACCCUUUAACCAUACAUUUGACAGAUACGCGCGCAUUGACUUUUUCGUAGAUCUUAUUGAGAUACAUGUGUGUGUCAAUUUUUGUGUCAAUAUGAUAAAGCGUACAGGCGUGACAGUCAAUAGUGUCAAUUUCCACCUUAGGGGACAAGAAAAAAUUGACUUUUUUCUCCUGCCAUGGGGGGGCGCUCUUUUGGGGAGUAAAAAUUCCUUCACAAAUGUGUUGAUGGCUGGACAUUGCAUCAUCCUAGAAAACUUGGAGGCCAGUGAGGACAAAAAUAAAAAGUUAUAAGACUUUUAAAUAUGUGGAUUUUAGGAAUAUCUUUGGCGCCCCCUAGAACCUAAACCGUGGGGUGCAGCGUCAUGAUUUGAAUAACUUUUAAUGGCCAUGGGGUGUAGAUUGGCCUGAGCAAAUGUGGUGCCGGUGGAACGAAAGCCUUCGGAGGAGUUAGCGAAAUUCCAAUGUGUGCGGAUCGGCAAAAAAUGCGGAAUAACCCUUUAACUGUAUAUUUGACAGAUACGCGCGCAUUGACUUUUUCGUAGAUCUUAUUGAGAUACAUGUGUGUGUCAAUUUUUGUGUCAUCUUGCCAAAGCGUACAGGUGUUACACUCAACAAUGUGUAUUUUCACCUUAGGGGACAAGAAAAAAUGGACUUUUUUCUCCUGCCAUGGGGGGGCGCUCUUUUGGGGAGUAAAAAUUCCUUCACAAAUGUGUUGAUGGCUGGACAUUGCAUCAUCCUAGAAAACUUGGAGGCCAGUGAGGGCAAAAAUAAAAAGUUAUAAGACUUUUAAAUAUGUGGAUCUUAGGGUUAUCUUUGGCGCCCCCUAGAACCUAAACCGUGGGGUGCAGCGUCAUGAUUUGAAUAACUUUUAAUGGCCAUGGGGUGUAGAUUGGCCUGAGCAAAUGUGGUGCCGGUGGAACGAAAGCCUUCGGAGGAGUUAGCGAAAUUCCAAUGUGUGCGGAUCGGCAAAAAAUGCGAAAUAACCCUUUAACCGUACAUUUGACAGAUACGCCCGCACUGACUUUUUUGUAGAUCUUAUUGAGAUACAUGUGUGUGUCAAUUUUUGUGUCAUUUUGACAAAGCGUACAGGCGUCAGGUGAAUUUUUCACCUUAGGGGGCGCUAUGGAGCCAUUUUGCAUUGUAUUGUUUGGGCGACUUCAGAAUAUCAAAUUUUUCACCAGGCCCGGUCGUCCUGCCAAAUUUCAUGAGUUUUCGCCAGUGGGAAGUGGGCCAUUUUCCAGUU